ensembl:lncRNA
GCCAAGAUUGCUGAGGGAAAGGAGUCUUACAGAAGGAAGCUGGAAAGCAAACUCCAAGAAAACAACACCAGGGAGGUGUGGAAGGGAAUGUGGACCAUUACUGGCCAGAGACAAAAGAAAGGUUCCUGGAAAAAUGGAACACGAGUUUUAAAGACAAGGUAGCCAGGGAAGCCAGAGACCUUAAAGAGACUUGUCUUCUAAAAAGAUUGCUGAAAUCGGCCUUGAACAAAGGAAGGGAUUAUGCUGAUGAGCCAGGUAGUGUCCCAAGACAUGGCUUCUCUUCUUGUUUUGCUGCAUCUUCUCACGCCACAACCAGCUGGAAGGAAACGUCCUAAGAAGAUGAGUGUUGGAUCCAGUUCCACAUACUGUGGUUCAUGGAACACCUUUUCUUAACCUAAGGGGCUUAUAAAGUUAUGCUUUUUAUUGUGUUUCAGUCCUACCAGAGCCUUGAGGAUCACCUCAUGAAUAAUGAAGGAAACCCCCAGCCAUAUCUCCUGGCCACAGGGACUUAGAAAGCACAGGUUUUCAGCUUCUACAUUGUCUACGAUCGGAAGCUUCUUCCAUGUCAGUCAUGCACAUCACUGCGUGCAUUUGAUGAGCUGUUCAAGUGUCACUUCGUUGACGUGUGAAAUAUGAAGACACUCUGUCCAGCCUGCACACAUUUUUGCAGACCUCUGUGUACAAUAUUGAUGUAGGCACAACAGCGGGAAUUCAUUCAUCUCAUCUCAUCCCAGAAGAUGAUUUGCACUGGCAUUUGUUGCACAUUCUAAACAUCGUUUUCCCAAUCUCUAUCACUGAAGGAAUGACUGUGUAUUUAAAGCACCUGAUUAUUGUACACCAUAGACUCUUUAGAGAACUAUACCCAUCAAGCAACUUAAUUCCAAAACAUCAUUUCAUGGUCCACUAUCCGAGGUGCGUUCGAAAGAUUGGUCCUCUCAUUCAUAUCUGGACCAUGAGAUUUGAAGCCAAACACAAAUUUUUCAAAGACUGUAUUAAGAACCUUAAGAAUUUGACUGCACCACUUGCAAGGAAACAUCAAUUUGCAUUAGCUUAUCAUUGGGAAUGUAUGAGUUUAAAAGCAGUUGAGUCUGGUCCAGCUAAAAUGUGUUUGAAGAAUACUCAGAAAUUAUAUCUCCAUAUCUUCAUGUUGAUUUAGACCACUGUCAAACUCACACACUGGGUAAUGUGUAUUGGUGUUGAAUAUAUUGUUGGGCUUUUUGUUUGCACAGGUGUAACAUGGUAGACUAAUGUGCCUGGAUUAAUUCAUCUCCAUAUUAUUGUGUGAAGCUGCACUGGGUUGGGAGUGGUUGUGUGUGUCACAUUUACAGUGAGCCAAUGGCUAUAAUGGAGUUGGACUAAUUAGAGGCAGGUGUAAUUGAUUGCACUGAUACAUUGGUCUACUUAUAGCCCACACUACAAACACUGCUGUGUUAGUUUGUCUCUCUGUGCAGGUAUGUAAUGUGCUGAAACCUGUUCUGUUUGGGAUGGAUGGGUUGUGUGCUGUGAAUUAUAUAGUGAAGGUGCUAUUUUGUCUCUCUGUAUAGGCCAGUGCCUAUUAUAUGCCACAGCCUAAAGGCAGCCGAGUUGCAGAGGCCGGAGUGACCACUGGCUAUCUAUUUACAGGGUGGUAGGUCUCAUAGGACAACUGCUAACCCUGUUCAAGUUAAUGUGUGGAGUUCAACUGGCUUUGUGGCAUAGCUGGCUCCGGACUUGGACUGUGUGUUUUUACUUGGUCCACAAAUGGGACACUGGACUGUUUAAUCUGUUACCUUUUGAUUAUUGUGUUAAUAAAUUAUCUUUUAGAAUUUUAUUAACUGUCAUCGUUUUACCCACGGCUGAGACAGUUGGUCAGACCUAGAAUCUUUGUGUGUGUUACACAGGCACUUAUGAAAACAUGUCAGCUUUCAGCAAGAUAGCUUUGAUCAUUUUGCAUGAUGGUAAAGCUGUUUUUGUUAUGGUUGAGCAUGAAACAUGUUUCCAUGAUCAUUUUCAUGCUUUUCAAGUAAACGAAACCAUUCUUAAGAAGAUACUGGCCCUAGAAAGGGAGAAAUUAAGACCUUUCAAAUGUUUUGAUGCCCAAAUGUUAUAUGGGUGUGAUUCACAAUUUCAUGUUGUGUCAGAGAGUUGUAUUAUUUAAUUUGUUGGCUUAAUGGAGACUUAGUCUUCCUCAUGUUAACACUGCAUUACAAGUGCUUUCUUUAAGCUUUCUUUAAAUUACAAGUUUUUUCUUUAAUUCUGUUAGGCCUAUAUGAUCACACGUCUCAACUGUUUAGCUGCCAUUAUAAUAGCUGUUUUAAUGGUGAAUGUUACACUAUUACAAUGCUGUUUUAAUAAAUAAAUUCAUACAUUC